rnacentral:tRNA from 1 species
AGGUCCUUAUCUCAGUGGUAGAUCAUUUGACUGUAAGUCAAGAGGUCACCAGUUCAAACCUGAUAGGGCUUU